GGAGAUGUACCCAAGAGGCCGAAGGGGGCGCACUCGAAAUGCGCUAGGUCGGAAACGGCGCCAGGGUUCAAAUCCCUGCAUCUCCG
rnacentral:tRNA from 4 species